GAAAAUCUGCAUCAGUUUGACAGAUCAGUGUUUACGGAAGCCAAGUAACUUAACAGUUCCAGAUUUAGCACUGAAAUGUCAGACACCUAAAUACAUAAAUAAUGUUCACAUCAUGAAUGUCAAACUGAACAUCUCUUCUCAAGGAAAAUGCAAAACGUACAGUUUCAAACUAUCAGUUCAACGGCAGCAUAAAGUCAUUAGAAUUAAAGAGAUGGACAAAGAAAUAAAUCAGACAUUUUUGCUAAAAACUAAAAAGUACCCGACCUGCCAGAAUGUGUGGGGCAGUGGAAGUGUUGGAAGUAAGAGUUUCUCUUUUUUCAUAGUUUUUUCUAUUUCCAUUUAUAUCUUCAAAAAGCGACAGAAUGUGUAACACUAUGCAUGAGCCUGUGCUUUCAUUUUAAUUCGCUGAUUUUAUCUCAUGUUUUUAUGUGCAUUGUUUAAUUUAUAUCAUUUUCCUGUGAUAUAUUCAGAGGUAAUUUCAAGUUAAUGAUGUCACAGAAUUUACCGGUAUUUUGAAAGUGAUGUGUGAAUGACAAUUUCCUGUGUGAACAGUGCAUUUUUGUAUUUACCAGUAAAUUUGUUCCAGUAAUUUUACACCAAUUUACUGGUAUUACUGUUAAAGGGGCUAAUGACUCAACUUACUCAUUAAAACACUUACCGCCACCUACUGGCAGUUUUAGCUUAUUAUUUAGAGAAUCGCUUAGUUAAAAUAUGGUUUCAUAUAUCCAUAUUAAUAAAAAAUAUGAACAACAACAACAACAAAAAAAAAGAAUAAUUAAAAGGA